rnacentral:rRNA from 1 species
ACAUGCCUAUAGCAUAGCGUUAAUGCAUCAGAUCCCAUUAUAACUCCACAAUUAAGCAUGCUCAAACUAGAGUAGUAUUGGGAUGGGUGACCUCCCGGGAAGUCCUAGUGUUUUACAUGCC